rfam:Salmo salar isolate Sally breed double haploid chromosome ssa12, whole genome shotgun sequence.
UAGCUCAGUUGGUAGAGCGUGGUGUUUGCAACGCCAGGGUUGUGGGUUCGAUUCCCAC